UCCUACGGGAGGCAGCAGUGAGGAAUAUUGGUCAAUGGGCGCAAGCCUGAACCAGCCAUGCCGCGUGCAGGAUGACGCAUCUAUGGUGUGUAAACUGCUUUUGUACAGGAAGAAACAGUUCUUUGCGAAGAACCUUGACGGUACUGUAAGAAUAAGGAUCGGCUAACUCCGUGCCAGCAGCCGCGGUAAUACGGAGGAUCCAAGC
rnacentral:rRNA from 1 species